rnacentral:rRNA from 1 species
GGUUGAUCCUGCCAGUAGUGAUAUGCUUGUCUCAAAGAUUAAGCCAUGCAUGUGCAAGUAUAAGCUUUUAUACGGUGAAACUGCGAAUGGCUCAUUAUAUCAGUUAUAAUUUAUUUGAUAGUACAUUACUAGAUGGAUAACCGUGGUAAUUCUAGAGCUAAUACAUGCAUGCCCUUGGGCGUAUUUAUUAGAUCAAAGCCAGCGCAGCAAUGCAUGGGUGAAUCAUAAUAACUUUUUGAUCGUAUGAGCAAUCGACGACGUAUCAUUCGGAUUUCUGCCCUAUCAACUUGAU